UGCGCCUUGCCAGCCCGCUCAGAAACUUAAAGGAAUUGACGGGGGCCCGCACAAGCGGUGGAGUAUGUGGUUUAAUUCGAUGCAACGCGAAGAACCUUACCUGGUCUUGACAUCCCGGAGACCCUUAGGAAACUAGGGGGUGCUUCCAUCUGGAAGAAUCUGGAGACAGGUGCUGCAUGGCUGUCGUCAGCUCGUGUCGUGAGACGUUGGGUUAAGUCCCGCAACGAGCGCAACCCUUGCCUUUAGUUGCCAGCAGUUCGGCUGGGCACUCUAAAGGGACUGCCGGUGUUAAACCGGAGGAAGGUGGGGAUGACGUCAAGUCCUCAUGGCCUUUAUGACCAGGGCUACACACGUACUACAAUGGCCGAUACAAAGGGCAGCGACACUGCGAGGUGAAGCCAAUCCCGUAAAAUCGGUCUCAGUCCGGAUUGGAGUCUGCAACUCGACUCCAUGAAGUUGGAAUCGCUAGUAAUCGUGGAUCAGCAUGCCACGGUGAAUACGUUCCCGGGCCUU
rnacentral:rRNA from 1 species